UCGGGAAUUUUGGGCAAUGGGCGAAAGCCUGACCCAGCAACGCCGCGUGAAGGAUGAAGUAUUUCGGUAUGUAAACUUCGUAAGAAUAGGAAGAAUAAAUGACGGUACUAUUUGUAAGGUCCGGCUAACUACGUGCCAGCAGCCGCGGUAAUACGUAGGGACCAAGCGUUGUUCGGAUUUACUGGGCGUAAAGGGCGCGUAGGCGGCGUGGUAAGUCAUCUGUGAAAUCUCCGAGCUUAACUCGGAACGGUCAGAUGAUACUGCUGUGCUAGAGUACAGAAGGGGCAAUCGGAAUUCUUGGUGUAGCGGUGAAAUGCGUAGAUAUCAAGAGGAACACCUGAGGUGAAGACGGGUUGCUGGGCUGAUACUGACGCUGAGGCGCGAAAGCUAGGGUAGCAAACGGGAUUAGAUACCCACGUAGUCCCUGAGCGGGCUGGCAAGGCGCAU
rnacentral:rRNA from 1 species